rnacentral:tRNA from 1 species
GUCGUCUAGCUCAGUAGAGCGCAAGGCUCUUAACCUUGUGGUUCUGGGUUCGAGCCCCAGGGUGGGCG